AUAGACGGUUUUCUGCGAAAUCUAUUUGGAAGAUAUAUCAUUGGGAAGUUUAGCCAGGAAGUCAGCGUCU
rnacentral:sRNA from 1 species